UCACUUACUAUUCCUUCUUGGCAUGAUAACCCAGAUCAACUUCCAGAAUCGUGGAGCCAACUCCUCAUGGGUGGAUUGGUGGACGAAGAUAAUAAGGGAAACAUAAACCAUUUUCAAGCUAAAAAGUUGGAGAAUUGGGAGGAGCAAAUGCUACAUCAUCAAGCUUCAAGUGCCCCAGCUAUUGUGGAUGUGAAGCAAGAAAACUCUGCAAGCAGCUAUGUCUAUGGACAUGCAAAUGAAGAUUUCCAGGCAGCAAAACCUAGUUGGUCUCAGAUAAUUCCUCCUGCUUCUUCCCCCAAGUCCUGUGUUACAAGUUUCAGUAGUAACAUGUUAGAUUUUUCUACCAACAAAGGAGAUGGCAGGCAUCCACCACCAGAUCGAUCCUCUGAGUGCAACAGCACUGCAACUGGUGGGGCACUAAAGAAAGCUAGGGUUCAACCUUCUUCAACCCAAUC
rnacentral:misc_RNA from 1 species